CGCCACACUGGGCAAUGCCUUGUCAGGUGAGCUUGGCAUUCAUUCAAACCCCUUUGGCGGGGGUGCGUCUGCCCCUGUGGUGC
rnacentral:tRNA from 2 species